rnacentral:rRNA from 1 species
UAAUACAUGCAAGUCGAGCGGACUUGAUGAGAAGCUUGCUUCCCUGAUGCUUAGCGGCGGACGGGUGAGUAACACGUAGGCAACCUGCCCUCAAGCUUGGGACAACUACCGGAAACGGUAGCUAAUACCGAAUACUUGCUUUCUUCGCCUGAAGGAAGCUGGAAAGACGGAGCAAUCUGUCACUUGAGGAUGGGCCUGCGGCGCAUUAGCUAGUUGGUGAGUAACGGCUCACCAAGGGCGACGAUGCGUAGCCGACCUGAGAGGGUGAUCGGCCACACUGGGACUGAGACACGGCCCAGACUCCUACGGGAGGCAGCAGUAGGGAAUCUUCCGCAAUGGGCGAAAGCCUGACGGAGCAAUGCCGCGUGAGUGAUGAAGGUUUUCGGAUCGUAAAGCUCUGUUGCCAGGGAAGAACGUCCUUGAGAGUAACUGCUCAAGGAGUGACGGUACCUGAGAAGAAAGCCCCGGCUAACUACGUGCCAGCAGCCGCGGUAAUACGUAGGGGGCAAGCGUUGUCCGGAAUUAUUGGGCGUAAAGCGCGCGCAGGCGGUCAUUUAAGUCUGGUGUUUAAUCCCGGGGCUCAACCCCGGAUCGCACUGGAAACUGGAUGACUUGAGUGCAGAAGAGGAGAGUGGAAUUCCACGUGUAGCGGUGAAAUGCGUAGAGAUGUGGAGGAACACCAGUGGCGAAGGCGACUCUCUGGGCUGUAACUGACGCUGAGGCGCGAAAGCGUGGGGAGCAAACAGGAUUAGAUA